rnacentral:rRNA from 1 species
UACAGAGGUCUCAAGCGUUGUUCGGAUUCAUUGGGCGUAAAGGGUGCGUAGGCGGCGCGGUAAGUCGGGGUGUGAAAUCUCGGAGCUUAACUCCGAAACUGCAUUCGAUACUGCCGUGCUUGAGGACUGGAGAGGAGACUGGAAUUUACGGUGUAGCGGUGAAAUGCGUAGAUAUCGUAAGGAAGACCAGUGGCGAAGGCGGGUCUCUGGACAGUUCCUGACGCUGAGGCACGAAGGCCAGGGGAGCAAACAGG